rnacentral:rRNA from 1 species
UACGUAGGUGGCAAGCGUUGUCCGGAAUUAUUGGGCGUAAAGCGCGCGCAGGCGGUCCUUCAAGUCAGAGGUGAAAGCCCAGAGCUCAACUCUGGAAUGGCCUUUGAGACUAGAGGACUUGGGUACGGGAGAGGUGAGUGGAAUUCCCGGUGUAGCGGUGAAAUGCGCAGAUAUCGGGAGGAACACCAAUGGCGAAGGCAGCUCGCUGGGACGUUACUGACGCUGAGACGCGAAAGCGUGGGGAGCAAACAGG